AGUGUUUAAAGUAGAAUUUCUAUAUUUGAUUACGGUUCGAAAGGGUUAUAAGCAUUAUUG
rnacentral:tRNA from 1 species